rnacentral:rRNA from 1 species
UACAGAGGGUGCAAGCGUUAAUCGGAAUUACUGGGCGUAAAGGGCGCGUAGGCGGUCGCCUAAGUCGGACGUGAAAUCCCCAAGCUUAACCGGGGAAGUGCAUCUGAAACUGGCGGGCUAGAGUACGAAAGAGGGUCGCGGAAUUCCCGGUGUAGAGGUGAAAUUCGUAGAUAUCGGGAGGAACACCGGUGGCGAAGGCGGCGACCUGGGUCGAUACUGACGCUGAGGUGCGAAAGCGUGGGGAGCAAACAGG